AGAGUUUGAUCAUGGCUCAGGAUUAACGCUGGCGGUAUGCCUAACACAUGCAAGUCGAACGGAAUACUCGAAAAGAGAAUCUCACACUAGUGAGAGGUUCUCCAACCGAGUAUUUAGUGGCGGACGGGUGAGUAACACGUUGGAACCUGCCCCGAAGUGGGGAAUAACUGCUCGAAAGAGUAGCUAAUACCCCAUAGUAUCCGGUUUAUCCGGAUUAAAGAUUUAUCGCUUCGGGAGGGGCCUGCGUCUGAUUAGCUUGUUGGUGGGGUAAAAGCUCACCAGGGCGACGAUCAGUAGCUGGUUCGAGAGGAUGACCAGCCACACUGGGACUGAGAUACGGCCCAGACUCCUACGGGAGGCAGCAGUGAGGAAUCUUCCACAAUGGACGAAAGUCUGAUGGAGCAAUACCGCGUGCAGGACGACGCUUUUCGGAGUGUAAACUGCUUUUGUCGUCGAAGAUUAUGACUGUAGACGAAGAAUAAGGACCGGCUAACUACGUG
rnacentral:rRNA from 1 species